UACGGAGGAUCCGAGCGUUGUCCGGAUUUAUUGGGUUUAAAGGGUGCGUAGGCGGCUUAUUAAGUCAGUGGUGAAAUACUCUAGCUCAACUAGAGGGGUGCCAUUGAUACUGAUGAGCUUGAGUACAGAUGAGGUAGGCGGAAUUGACGGUGUAGCGGUGAAAUGCUUAGAUAUCGUCAAGAACACCUAUAGCGAAGGCAGCUUACUAGGCUGUAACUGACGCUGAGGCACGAAAGUGUGGGGAUCAAACAGG
rnacentral:rRNA from 1 species